CCCGAUUCCCAAAAAGAUGUUCGUCGUCGUGCGAAGAUUAGUGCGCAAAAAUCCGCAAAACACAAAACUGCGUAUAGAGAUUGUGUUACCUAGGGAGAUCGUAUAUCCCUGUUUCCUUGCAGAUCCUUAGGAGAGGGUGAAGGAGGUCAAGCGUCCUCCUCUCUAGCGGUGAUCCACAUAGCAGGGUUGCGACGACACUCCUCAAAACUCCAGGCCUACUCUGAGGUGGAGAGGGAGAGGAGAAUAGGAAAGGCAAGCAAAGACUCUAGCCUAUGAGGCUGUGAAUCCCUC
rnacentral:lncRNA from 1 species